GAGGGAUCACGUGCACCGAGUGGACCGGUUUUCACCACUCAGGUGGAGGAGCAGCCUGCUGUACCCGACGACGUCGUGGCAGGUAUUAUUCUGAUUAAUGGCAUUAGAGCAAGAACAUUAUUUGACACGGGUGCAUCACAUUCAUUUAUUGGUGCAUCAUUUGCUAAGACGCAUGGCAUGGACAUAGUGCAUAAUUAUGACUAUUGGUGGGUUAACGCACCAGAACUGUCACGCCCCGGGACCGGCGGAGGCCCUCCCGGUAGCGUGCCCAGACCCGCCAUAUGUCAACACAUAUAAGGCGUCUACAAGAAAAGCGAAAGUAAAAGCAAGAGAUGGAACAAAUAAAAGAAGUGAAAUAACAAGCAACUAAAGUAAUCAGAGCGAGUAAAGUUCUAACAUCUAUGCUAAUAGUAAUAGAACAUAACUAAUACAUAAAAGUAAACAUAAGUUAUACAGUAUCAGCCUCUAAUACAAAAAUGGUGGUCUUUAGUACACUGGUAAAACUCUCAACCUCUCACAAAAAGAAAACACGAGAGGUAGACCACCUAUCGAACGAUCCCUCGGUAAGCACGCUAGCCCGAGGCGAUACCCUUUCCGCGAUCCCUGGCCUCUCCCUGCGUGGAAGGCUCUGAAAAACAUCGAGAAAAAGAGGGCGUGAGAACUAUAAUUUAUAGUUCCCAGUGGGCAAUUACUGACCUCAGCUCAGUGCACCACUAGGCCC
rnacentral:lncRNA from 1 species